UGGGGAAUUUUGGACAAUGGGCGAAAGCCUGAUCCAGCAAUGCCGCGUGUGUGAAGAAGGCCUUCGGGUUGUAAAGCACUUUUGUCCGGAAAGAAAACGCCGUGGUUAAUACCCGUGGCGGAUGACGGUACCGGAAGAAUAAGCACCGGCUAACUACGUGCCAGCAGCCGCGGUAAUACGUAGGGUGCAAGCGUUAAUCGGUAUUACUGGGCGUAAAGCGUGCGCAGGCGGUCCGCUAAGACAGAUGUGAAAUCCCCGGGCUUAACCUGGGAACUGCAUUUGUGACUGGCGGGCUAGAGUAUGGCAGAGGGGUGUAGAAUUCCACGUGUAGCAGUGAAAUGCGUAGAGAUGUGGAGGAAUACCGAUGGCGAAGGCAGCCCCCUGGGCCAAUACUGACGCUCAUGCACGAAAGCGUGGGGAGCAAACAGG
rnacentral:rRNA from 1 species